AAAACCACUGUCCCCAAACGGCUUCUUGCCUUAAGGGUCAACAGACUUGUAGAUCAGGCAGUGGAGAGACCCUGGAGAUAGUCUUCCUCAUGGCAUCGUCUUUAAACCUCUCGUGGCAGAACUAGCAGCCACAGCCACUCCAAACCCAGAGAAACCUACAACUAAGUACACUCUUCAUUCAAAUAGUUUAACCUACAUGCAAAAUAGAACCAAAACCAUAUAUACACCCAACUUAGAGGUGAGGAGAGUAUACCCACGUACAAUCAAG
rnacentral:misc_RNA from 1 species